CACUCGUGCACGGAGACGGUGGCCGUCUACGCCGAGUG
rnacentral:misc_RNA from 1 species